AUUGAACGCUGGCGGCAUGCCUUACACAUGCAAGUCGAGCGCGAAAGGGGGCAACCCCGAGUAGAGCGGCGGACGGGUGAGUAACACAUCGGAACGUGCCCAGUAGUGGGGGACAACCUCGAGAAAUCGAGGCUAAUACCGCAUACGACCCACGGGUGAAAGCGGGGGACCGCAAGGCCUCGCGCUAUUGGAGCGGCCGAUGUCCGAUUAGCUUGUUGGCGGGGUAAGAGCCCACCAAGGCGACGAUCGGUAGCUGGUCUGAGAGGAUGAUCAGCCACACUGGGACUGAGACACGGCCCAGACUCCUACGGGAGGCAGCAGUGGGGAAUUUUGGACAAUGGGGGCAACCCUGAUCCAGCCAUGCCGCGUGCGGGAAGAAGGCCU
rnacentral:rRNA from 1 species